rnacentral:lncRNA from 1 species
UCAGGAUUUAAAAACUGGAACGGUGAAGGCGACAGCAGUCGGUUGGAUCGAGCAUCCCCAAAGUUCUACAAUGUGGCCGAGGACUUUGACUGUACAUGGUUUUUUUUUUUAAAAUAGUCAUUCCAAAUAUUGUGAGAUGCAUUGUUACAGGAAGUCCUUUGCCUUCCCAAAAGCCACCCUCCUUCUCUCUAAGGAGAAGGGGCCAGUCCUCGCCCGAGUCCACACAGGGGAGGUGAUUGCUUUUGUGUAAAUUAUGUACUCCAAAAAAAGUUUUGUUUUUAAUCUUCGCCUUAAUACUUGUUUUUUUUUUGUUUGUUUUUAUUUUGAAUGGUCAGCCAUCACGGCCCCCUUUUUUUGUCCCCCAACUUGAUGUAUGAAG